rnacentral:rRNA from 1 species
UAGGGAAUAUUGCGCAAUGGGGGCAACCCUGACGCAGCCAUGCCGCAUGUGUGAAGAGGGCCUUAGGGUUGUAAAGCACUUUCAAUAGAGAGGAAAAGCUUGUCGUUAAUACCGACAAGCCGUGACGUUACCUAUAGAAGAAGGACCGGCUAACUCCGUGCCAGCAGCCGCGGUAAUACGGAGGGUCCGAGCGUUAAUCGGAAUUACUGGGCGUAAAGCGCGCGUAGGCGGUUUUGUAAGUCGGAUGUGAAAUCCCUGGGCUUAACCUGGGAACUGCAUUCGAUACUGCAUAACUAGAGUAUGGUAGAGGGAAGUGGAAUUUCCGGUGUAGCGGUGAAAUGCGUAGAUAUCGGAAGGAACACCAGUGGCGAAGGCGACUUCCUGGGCCAAUACUGACGCUGAGGUGCGAAAGCGUGGGGAGCAAACAGG